rnacentral:lncRNA from 10 species
UGUCAGUAGGUCUGGUUUUACUUGUCAGGAGGGACUGAAGAAAGCACAGGACGUAAGUUCCUCCAAGAGCAUUCUUGGAGCAGCAUCUCAUCGCUGUCCUUGGGUGUAGCCUCCCUUUUGUGAGGUUCACUCCCUCAGCUGGAGGAUGAACCACAGUGCUGCUGCAGACCUAGCUGAUGUCACAGUUGUUCAAAAGAAACACCACCUGGAACACAGCUGUGACUUGAUAAACAAGUGAAACAUUCUUUGGUGUGGUGAGGGGAAAACAAAUUUCUCAAAGGACACGCACCAUGGUGUAUGAGAGGACACUGGAGCCCAGCCAGCAUCUGACAUGCUGAAUUCAAAGUGCAGGUGAAAGUAGGACAACUGAUUCACAAGCUGGGAUGCCUGUGUUGUUGUUUGCCAGUGUGCGUGUGUGUGUUUUCCUGGCACCCUUCAUUCAUUCCCCAGCACAGUUGACAUCAGGUUGGAAGCAGUGAGUUCUGAGGGAGACUGCUAGAGGACCCAACUUGGAGAAUCAACGAUCUGCGAUGAAGAUAAUGAAGAUAAAGACAAUGUCAAUGUCAGCGUCCAAAAUCAUAAGGACCCUUUAAGAAGCUUCCAGAGCAGAAGUGACUGUGCAAGAAGGGCCAAUAAAGUCUAGGCAAUGCACGACCAGGCGCGGUCGCUCACGCCUGUAAUCCCAGCACUUUGGGAGGCCGAGGUGGUUGGAUUACCUGAGGUUAGGAGUUUGAGACCAGCCUGACCAACAUAGUUUCACCCCAUCUCUACU